GACGAACGCUGGCGGCGUGCUUAACACAUGCAAGUCGAACGGAAAGGCCCUGCUUUUGUGGGGUGCUCGAGUGGCGAACGGGUGAGUAACACGUGAGUAACCUGCCCUUGACUUUGGGAUAACUUCAGGAAACUGGGGCUAAUACCGGAUAGGAGCUCCUGCUGCAUGGUGGGGGUGGGAAAGUUUCGGCGGUUGGGGAUGGACUCGCGGCUUAUCAGCUUGUUGGUGGGGUAGUGGCUUACCAAGGCUUUGACGGGUAGCCGGCCUGAGAGGGUGACCGGCCACAUUGGGACUGAGAUACGGCACAGACUCCUACGGGAGGCAGCAGUGGGGAAUAUUGCACAAUGGGCGGAAGCCUGAUGCAGCAACGCCGCGUGCGGGAUGACGGCCUUCGGGUUGUAAACCGCUUUCGCCUGUGACGAAGCGUGAGUGACGGUAAUGGGUAAAGAAGCACCGGCUAACUACGUG
rnacentral:rRNA from 1 species